CACUCCACCCCAUCCCCUGCUCUUCCCCAUGGCCGAGCACCCCUUCCCUCUGUCCAGGGAGCAUGAGCUCAAGCGCGCACCCUCCCCCUGCUCACCUCCGCCACUCAGCGCUCGGCGCCUUGGCAUCGGCCACGCUCGACGUCCGCUCGAGCCUCAGUCGCGUUGCCCUGGGCUAGCGCCUCUUCUUCCCUAGGCCGCGCCACCAUCCCUACUCCGGUUCCUCCCCCAUCGGAGCUCGCCGGUCACCGUCCCUGGUGCGCUUCAUCGCCGGCCGGACCACCAUGUCCCUGCGCAUGGCGGUUCCAAGUUGCCUUUAGUGCAAUCUAUGCUCGGGUAAAGAAAGAGAAGAAGGCAUCGAGGUGGAUCUCCAGGAGUUCUAGGACGUUGAUGAGUUCGAGGAUUAGGCUAGUGACCUCCCCCAGUCAGAUGCCUGUGGUGGGUUGUUUACGUUGGCUACGUUUCGAUUCUGUGUACUUUGAUUUAUAUUAUGUAAAUGGCUCUAGUCUGUAAAAUUAUUACUUACUCUUUAUUGUAAUUUGAAGCAU